CCUACGGGAGGCAGCAGUGGGGAAUAUUGCACAAUGGGCGAAAGCCUGAUGCAGCAACGCCGCGUGAAGGAAGACGGUUUUCGGAUUGUAAACUUCUAUCAAUAGGGAAGAACGACAUGACGGUACCUAAAUAAUAAGCCCCCGCUAACUACGUGCCAGCAGCCGCCGUACUACGUAGGGGGCAAGCGUUAUCCGGAAUUACUGGGUGUAAAGGGAGAGUAGGCGGUAAGGUAAGCGAUAUGUGAAAGCCUUAAGCUUAACUUAAGGAUUGCAUAACGAACUAUCUAGCUAGAGUACAGGAGAGGAAAGCGGAAUUCCUAGUGUAGCGGUGAAAUACGUAGAUAUUAGGAAGAACAUCAGUGGCGAAGGCGGCUUUCUGGACUGAAACUGACGCUGAGGCGCGAAAGCGUGGGGAGCGAACAGGAUUAGAUACCCGAGUAGUC
rnacentral:rRNA from 1 species